AACUUCAGACUCUACAUUGAACAACAAAUUAUAAAUAAUCAUCUCUUACUCAUAGUAAACAGAGGCUACGAAGGAGGCAAUGACGCCUUAUGCCGCAAUAAUUUGGGGGAUGGGAGGGGUGGGGCAGCACAUGGGGCUUGUGAAAGUGAGCCCCGUUCCCCAUCACCGCUCUUCAGAAGAACUGAAAACAACUAGGCACACACGCACAAGAAUCAGUCUGGGGGAUGCCAGCAUCCUCCCAGCCCCACUUCACCCAUCCAGCCCCACAGAAUACGCUUCAGGCUACCCGCACAGUGGACCUUCUUGCAGAGAAAAGAAAAGAGUAGGCUGGCCCUCUAGACACAUUCCUCAGGCUGGCGGCUUUUCCACGGAUGGAGAUGUUUAGCUGCUUACAAGAUGACAUCUUUUAACAGUGUACACGUCUUCAACUCCUGCCUGGUCUGUGUAUAGCUGCUUUGUCAGCUGGCACACUUAAUUAAAAGGAAAUAUGUUUACCUUGAAGGCAAGUCCCCCAAUGCAAACUAGUUUUGAGAUGCUGAUAUAUGUCCCAAGGCAUGCCCAUCUGAGAUUUUUACAGCAGACCAAGACGCUAAGUUCAAACUUUGGGUUCAAAACCGUGCUUUUUAUACAGCUAAAGCACAAAAAGUUUUAGUGAAAAUAUUCAAAUGCGGUCGUUUCUCCAGAGUUUUUAAGUGCUAUUUCAAGAAGCAGCCCCCAAUGUGUCAAUUGUAUUAUUACACUCGAUUUGUAUUAUACUCGAUUUGUCUAAGACAUUGUUAAUGAGAGAGAGGCAUAUAACCAUUAAGUGCCAGGACUACCCCUCAUAGCACUUAACACCAUCUCCCAUACAUAGUAAAUACUGUGCCUGUAAAUACCUGUUGAUUCUAAAAUUCUAUCUUGGUUGUGCAAUUAGCUUUCUAUGAUAGGGGUAAAGGUGCAUCAAUUUCUCCAAGUAUUCUUGAAAUAAAAUGGAGAAAAAUGUGUGUGCUCUCAGGUUGAAGGAGUAUAAAUGAACAGUUGCUUCAGAGUAAGUUUCAUGGAAGAUGUCACCUGGACUCUUGGGACCACUUCACUUCCUUCAUAUCCCUUCAUUCUCCUUUUUUUUUUCUCUAACCAUUUUUCAUGAUGAUGCCAUCUCUAACUGCUUCCCAAUUCUCUGUUCUGGAUGGAGUCGGCUCCCUGGCAAUCUUCUGUGCCUAGAAAUGACCUCUUUUUUUUUUCUCUCCACCUCAUCCUAGUUCAAAACAUUUAGAUCACGCAGUACCCAAAACACUAGCCAAGUCAUGAAUCCUUCUCUUUCUGUUGGAAGAAAAACAGCAAGUUCCCCCUACUCUCAACUCCUACAACUGUCCGUGCAUCCUGGAGACAGUGUUGCUAAUAGUGGUCCUGGGACUGUCUGCAUCAGAAUCAGAUACUGUGCCAUCGAGAACCAGUGACUCAGCAUCUCUAAGGCUGGGGUCUAGGAAUUUACCUUUUCAA
rnacentral:lncRNA from 1 species